CCUACGGGGGGCACAGUGGGGAAUAUUGGACAAUGGGCGAAAGCCUGAUCCAGCCAUGCAGCGUGUGUGAAGAAGGCCUUUUGGUUGUAAAGCACUUUAAGCGAGGAGGAGGCUACUUAGAUUAAUACUCUAGGAUAGUGGACGUUACUCGCAGAAUAAGCACCGGCUAACUCUGUGCCAGCAGCCGCGGUAAUACAGAGGGUGCGAGCGUUAAUCGGAUUUACUGGGCGUAAAGCGUGCGUAGGCGGCUUCUUAAGUCGGAUGUGAAAUCCCUGAGCUUAACUUAGGAAUUGCAUUCGAUACUGGGAAGCUAGAGUAAGGGAGAGGAUGGUAGAAUUCCAGGUGUAGCGGUGAAAUGCGUAGAGAUCUGGAGGAAUACCGAUGGCGAAGGCAGCCAUCUGGCCUAAUACUGACGCUGAGGUACGAAAGCGCGGGGAGCAAACAGGAUUAGAUACCCUAGUAGUC
rnacentral:rRNA from 1 species